ensembl:lncRNA
ACACUUUUUACGUAGCCCGGCUGCUCGAGUUUUUUUUGCUGGUUUACCGCGACUGACGACUCGUUUAAUUAAGGUAAAUACAACCAUGUCACUGUUAUAAAACAAGACGCACAGCUUAUCAUCUUAUAGUUUUAAAAUCACUUUGUUGUUAAUUCGUUAGCUAGAUUAGCCGCUAGCAUACGCGCUGUGUUGGAGGCUUGUUGCUAGCUAGUUAGCGAUGCUACACACCUGCUACUCUAAUAGUCUGUGUUAUUGAAGGAUUCAGCACUUAUGUUUGUUUUUAUCCAUUUUUAGACAGCGAUGAGAUCAUCUGCACACUCUACAGAAGCCCAGAGUUACUGUUAAUAUCAAAAAUAUCAUGCUGUCCUUUGAGAUUUUAACAUAAGACUGUGAGUGUCAUGGAUCUAAAACUGUUUAAAUCUUCAGAGCCCUCUACAGCCUGGUAACAUGGAAACUUUAAAAACAUCAGCAGAACGUUUCAGUAGUGUAGUCUAAUUUGUUCUUUUCAUUUAAUAAUAGAGUCCAUAUUAUAUCCACAGCUACAUUCACCCUGGAGAGAAACUAGUGAGGGAGACCAUCAGGACCAAGCUGGGUUUCCUGGGUCCAGAGGUUCGGAGAAACUUCUUCCUUUUCUUUCAUCACAGCUGUCCUGUGCCAGAUGUUCUGUUGACCGACUGAGAGAGACUUCAUUUAAGAAACACCAGGAAGACUGAAGCUCAUCGCAUUGAUCAAGCAGGAUACUCCCCAGAGGCUCCAGACUUUUACAUAAAGAUAUUAUAUUCAGUCCUGUAGAAAGUUAUAUAUUUAAAAAUAUAUGAUCCUCUCUGGUUACUCUGGUAUGAAUAACUCUGAAUCACUUUAUGUUAAAUAACACAUUAUCUGCAAAAAACUGUGAAAGAAUUCCAGAU